UAACCGAGGGGGAAAAUAUAUUAGACCUGCUAAGUCUUUAACCUGGUACUAAUCGCCCAGCCCCCUCU
rnacentral:tRNA from 1 species